AAAGAAAGGAAAUCCUGCAUUCCAGGGCACCACAAGUGAAGGCACUGCCCCAGGGUACACAGUUCUGCAACAGCUUCCCAUCCCUUGGACAUCCUCAGAUCAACCUCAGCAGUGCUCCUCCCCCCUUCCAACACUUGUACACAACAAUGGGAUCUUCCCAUGUGACAAUUAGAGCAGUUUAUUUUUUCAUGAUGGAAACACCAAAUGCAAUUCAAUCUCCCCACAUGGGUCAUGCUUUAAAAAUGCACACUGAAUCCAACCACCUCCCCAUGAUGGGCUGCUCUUCCCCAUCUGCAGCACUCGUAAUUGGCGCGAUUAAUUAAAGCUGCACCGUUCAACCUAAGUACAAAUACAGCUUCAGCUAUUUGCUUGUGUCAUAUCUUACUACAGAACAAAUUUUCUCCCUGUUCCAGCACUGUGACCUCACAGCAGCAGGUCUUCCUCCAUCCUCCAGGCAAUGCACUCUCUCAGCUGCUCGUGGCUCAGAGCAGGAGCCUGAUGAAACAACUUAUGGAACAUUUGGGGGUGGAGGGAGAAGGUAUCUGCCGUUCUUUCCACUCAGUGCAAGCUAUCUAGGGAAUGCAGACCUAAAAAAAGCAGGAACUCCACACCAACCUGAUGCCAACCUGGGAACAGAAGGAUCAACUCAUACGGCUCGUUCUGCCUGGAAGGUCUGUAACUGGAGAUGAUACAUAUAUACCCAAAAAAGAAACGGAUGGAAGCACUUUGUGCUGGCACAGACAGCUGCUGCUCCUUCACACUCUAUUGCUGAGAUGAUUUCUUCAGGGGAAACUUUGGGGAAGUGGCCACGCAGACAGCAGCUGAAAACAUCAAUUAAAUCCAAAUGAAGUGGUUGUACUACAAGCACAACUGAACAAAACCCACUGGGCUGCCAACAAGCAGGAAUCACAACUCAGCCUGCACCACGCAGGGCGUCCUCUGCUGCUCUGUAAGCAUUUGAGCUCCUGAUGGAAAUGCAUCUUGCUGUCCAAAGGAAGCCCACGUGGGGCUGAGAUGCACAAUGUGGAUAUUGCCAGCAUCUUGAGAUGAAGCCCAGGCAAGAAGCACUUUAAUAUUUAUUACAAUGAAAUGUGGUUCUGAAUAACACAGUA